rnacentral:lncRNA from 1 species
CUAUUUCCACUUAUGAUUUACAUUAGCUCGUAUAAGUAUGACUUACAUUAGCGCUUACUUAAUUGUAUAAUUACGAUUUACAUUAUCUCGUAUAAGUAUGACUUACAUUAAUCGCAAUUUACAAUGAAUAUGGAUUAUUAUCUCCCGAAAAAGAAACCAAAUCAUUCCAAUUUAGCAAGACUUGCGAAAACCCUCAUAUCCAAUCCAAAUUUUGGGCCAGUCUGUUUUAACUUUAAAAAAAUGAUUUUUUUCUUUUUAUUUUUAAAAAUGGAUUUUACAAAAAU